UUUCCAUAGCAGAGCAAGGAUUUUUUGAACAGAUGCUGACUGAUUCUGUUCUGUGCAAUUGCACUGGCGGCUCUCAGAGUACUUAUUCAGGGCUGCCAAGUUAUGAAAUGUUUGAGGUACAAGCAGAGUGUGAAUAAAACUUUUAUUGCUUUGAACAAGACAUCUCGGCUCAAAAUUCCCUUGCUUACAUUUGUGUGGAUAUUAAUGACCUGUUAGUUAAAUGUGGAUAUAAAAAUGUCAGAUGGACUAAAACAGAUCGAAUCAUAUUCCUUCUUAGUUUUGCCCUUUAAAUGUUUUAUGGUUACUAUCACUGGGUUUCCCUCCUCUUCUCAUGUUUUGUGUUUACUAGCUGUUACAUGGUCACCUUUUUAAAUACAAAUACAGCCACAAAUCAGUGGCAGCUUUUAUUGCUUUUAUUUAUACCAACAGAGUUGUUGUCUCUGUGUUCAUAGAUGAGGGAAUAAUUUCUAAAUGGGAUGAAUUAAGAACUCCUUAUAUUCUUCUCUAUAUUUGAGAUAUUUCUGAAAAAUAGCAGGUUUCCCAGGGUCUAAAAUCUUACAGAUAUGCUAGGAGAAUCUUCAAUUAAUCCUCUUAAAAUCUGUCUCAAGUCUUUAAAUGCCAUUGUUGUUGUAUUUCCAAAUUCUAGAUUAUACUUUUAUGUUUGCCAAUAUUUUUUUCUAAAGAAAGUUUUAUCAUUUAAUCUGAUAAUGAUUAAAAAUUAGUGAUAUGACCAGUCUUUAAAUUUUAUUCUAUUCUUUUUCUCUUCUCUCAGUGUGAUUUUGUAAGAGAAGACAAGUAGGAAAGGCAAAUAUGGAAGAAUUUUUUGUUUCAGAAAGGAAAUUGAUGUGUUUAAAUACAUUGCAAGAGAAAAUGAAGUUUCCGUAUUUUAUAUAAAAUGAAUGUAUCAUUUUCAGCCAGACCUAACUACUAAUACUUAUUAAUGAUAUUACUUAAGUAAUUACACAGCAUUGCAGGAAUGAUAACUAAUGCUAGAAAUUGCACAGUGAAUUCAAAGAGUGCUCCCUUUCUGGUGCUGCAGCACAAACCUGAUCUGGACGAGAUCCUAGGCAGUAAUGCUGAGCAAGUUCAGAGUUACAACAACAUCGUAUUUUGCUCUUCUUGUUGCUACAGAUUCCAAAGGCUAUAAAAUUCUCCCAUGUUUCUGAUCCUUCUCAUAAUAUUGUUGUGUGAUACUGUAAUGGUGCAAGAGUUGUCAGCACCCUGUGAGCCAACAUCUGGAAACCAUUAAUGCUUCAUGGGGCACAGGAUGGCACAGACACCACUGAUGCGUCUGGAAAGAGCAAAACCUCUCUGCUGUGCCCUGGUAGGAAUUUCAUGAACCUGUGGGAUGGAUGUCAUGAGUGAAAGCCAAGUUGCUGUUUGCUAUAUCUUAAGCAUCAUCUUACUGGGAACAUGCUUAACCUGCCAAAAGCUCUUCUGAACUCUGACUGCAAACCAUUCCAAAGUCUAAAUUUCUCAUGCAAAUGCCAUAUGACCUCAGGUAGGUAGAGAACUCCAGGUUCUCUGAGCACAUUAUCUGUAACCAACUUCUCCGAGCCUUUUGGCUGCUGCAUAUUCAAAGCACUGUUUACUUAUUGCC